GACGAACGCUGGCGGCGUGCUUAACACAUGCAAGUCGAACGGAAAGGCCCUGCUUUUGUGGGGUGCUCGAGUGGCGAACGGGUGAGUAACACGUGAGUAACCUGCCCUUGACUUUGGGAUAACUUCAGGAAACUGGGGCUAAUACCGGAUAGGAGCUCCUGCUGCAUGGUGGGGGUUGGAAAGUUUCGGCGGUUGGGGAUGGACUCGCGGCUUAUCAGCUUGUUGGUGGGGUAGUGGCUUACCAAGGCUUUGACGGGUAGCCGGCCUGAGAGGGUGACCGGCCACAUUGGGACUGAGAUACGGCACAGACUCCUACGGGAGGCAGCAGUGGGGAAUAUUGCACAAUGGGCGGAAGCCUGAUGCAGCCACGCCGCGUGCGGGAUGACGGCCUUCGGGUUGUAAACCGCUUUCGCCUGUGACGAAGCGUGAGUGACGGUAACGGGUAAAGAAGCACCGGCUAACUCCGUG
rnacentral:rRNA from 1 species